rnacentral:sRNA from 1 species
UAUAUAAUAAAUAAUUCUUAAAUUUUUAAAAUUACACUUAAAAAAAAAUCACGGGACGGGUAAAGAAAUUACAGAACGGGUUUUAUUUUGGUAUUGGGUUAUAUGGUGGAUGUAUUUGAAUCAUUAUUUAUAAAAUU